UACGUAGGUGACGAGCGUUGUCCGGAUUUACUGGGCGUAAAGAGCGCGCAGGCGGUCGUUCAAGUCGAGUGUGAAAGCCCCCGGCUCAACUGGGGAGGGUCAUUCGAUACUGAUCGACUCGAAGGCAGGAGAGGGAAGUGGAAUUCCCGGUGUAGUGGUGAAAUGCGUAGAUAUCGGGAGGAACACCAGUGGCGAAGGCGACUUCCUGGCCUGUUCUUGACGCUGAGGCGCGAAAAGCUAGGGGAGCAAAC
rnacentral:rRNA from 1 species